AUUUACCACAAGCACGUUCAGGGAGCUACUGUGGACCUAUUUUCUAAACUGCCUCUAAAUUCAUAGAAUCAUAGACACAUGGGGUUGGUUGUAUCAUGGUGACCUAAACUGGACACACUAUUCUAGGUCUGCUGUCACCAGCACAGUGUAAAGCAACUCUAUCACUUCUUGCCCUGACAUUAUGCCUCUGUUAAUGCAGCCUGGGACUGCAUUGGCUUUUUUCGGCAGUGGCAGCACUAUACAGCACAAUACUGACAAAAGUGGUACUUAUCAUAUGGCCCGGGGACACAGCCUAUCCUUUUGGAGAUUUCCCAGAGGCAGCUCCAUUUUCAGUGCACCCACAAUUCCUUAAGACAGUCUACAAAGAAUUAAGGGAGCAAAACAGAAUACUUUGUCCCAGUGACAAUGACCCAGAAGCAGCCACCAUUUUGACACAGAGGCAGGCAUGAGAAAAUAGAAGCUGCUUCCACAAGUCCGCCACAUGACCCAGGCAUGAAUCCCAAGCACAUUCAAAAUAACGGCUGCUUCCACAACAGUCAUGAAGCCCACAAAUGUGUGUCUUGCCUUCCUUCACCAACAUGAGGUUCAGAGAUCUUCAAAAGGUAUGGAGAAGGAGGAGGCUGUGAUGCCUGGUGGGUUGGGAGUCAGGCCUAACAACUGCAGGGACCCAGUGGGAAUAGGAAAAUGCCUGUGGGGACCCAAAGGGUGGGGUAGUGGAGGCUAGGCCUCCCAAGAGAUUCCCACAACCCUGAGGUGGUCACUGUUCUGCUUAAUGACUUGAACAUUAUUUAACAGCUUCAUCAGGGAGAGUAGGGGAUGGGGACAGGUAGUUAAGCAAUGUCACUUAACAACCACUGCAACAUGUAACCAAAACUGGCAGGCCCAUUACAGUUUUAUCUAGAGGACUACUUCUAUGGUGGCUGGGGAAUUCUGGGGCUCAAAAUAUGGAGGACACCAAGGUAGAAGGAGGAAAUUCCAUGUGUGGGAAUUCCAUAACCAAUAUACAAAAAACACCACCCAAAAGACUUUUUCAGGAAUUCCACUACUUCUGCAAAAAUGAAAUUGCUGCUGAUAACGAGAAACUGGUAGUUAGCCCUUUUCCAUUUUCCUUUUUUCUCCACUUACAAGUCUAAUUCUGAGGUAUGUUUUUACCUACAUUCCUAAUGAGAGAUGAGAAAUGAAAUUAAAGCCUUCUAUAAACUCAUCAACUUUUCCCUCAGUUGGAUUUCCAUGUGGUCAAUAAGGAACUAUUUAUACCAGUAGCAUCAUCCACAGACAGAUUAGCCUCUAUGAGUCCUCCAGUAUAUCGCCAGGUUCGAAUUCUGACUGAAAUAUACCCACAAUCAGGUUGCUCAAAAGGUUUCUCACCUGUGUGAGUCCUCUGGUGUUUCACAGGGUCAGAAUUCCCAUUGAAACUUUCCCAUAUUCUACACAUGCAAACGGUUUCUCUCUUGGGUCAAUCCUCUGAUGAUUCAGCAAUCAGGAAUUCUGACUGAAACUGUUCCCAUAAUCAGAAUAUUAAAAGGGUUUCGCUCCUUUGUGAGUCCUCUGAUGGCUCACCAGGCUGGAAUUCUGACUGAAACUUUUCCCGCAAACAGGACAUUCAAAGGGUUUCUCUCCUGUGUGAGUCCUCUGAUGGCUCACCAGAGUGGAAUUCUGACUGAAACUUUUCCCACAAACAGGACAUUCAAAGGGUUUCUCUCCUGUGUGAGUCCUCUGGUGUUUCAUCAGGCUGGAAUUGUGACUGAAACUUUUCCCACAAUCAGGACAUUCAAAGGGUUUCUCUCCUGUAUGAAUCCUCUGGUGGUUCACCAGGUAAGAAUUCUGACUGAAACUUUUCCCACAAAGAGGACAUUCAAAGGGUUUCUCUCCUGUGUGAGUCCUGUGGUG